rnacentral:rRNA from 2 species
GGAUCAGUUGGUCGGUCGUGCCUCGGUACGUACUGGUCAAAUUGAUUCCUACCUUCUGACGAACCACGAUGUCAUUAAUUUGGUGUCGCGGGAAAUCAGGACUGUUACUUUGAAAAAAUUAGAGUGUUUAAAGCAGGCUCGCGCUUGAAUACAUUAGCAUGGAAUAAUGAAAUAGGACGUUUGAUUCUAUUUUGUUGGUUUCUAGGAUCGACGUA